rnacentral:sRNA from 1 species
UCUGGGUGUGGUGAUGCAUGCCUGUAAUCCUAGAGGCUUGGGAGGCUGAGGCAGGAGGAUCCCAAGUCCAAGGCCAGCCUCAGCAACUUAACAAGGCCCUAAGCAACUCAGUGAGAUCCUGUCUCUA